GCACGCAGGCGGUCUGUUAAGUCAGAUGUGAAAUCCCCGGCCCUUAACCUGGGAACUGCAUUUGAAACUGGCAGGCUUGAGUCUCGUAGAGGGGGGUAGAAUUCCAGGUGUAGCGGUGAAAUGCGUAGAGAUCUGGAGGAAUACCGGUGGCGAAGGCGGCCCCCUGGACGAAGACUGACGCUCAGGUGCGAAAGCGUGGGGAGCAAACAGGAUUAGAUACCCUGGUAGUCCACGCCGUAAACGAUGUCGACUUGGAGGUUGUGCCCUUGAGGCGUGGCUUCCGGAGCUAACGCGUUAAGUCGACCGCCUGGGGAGUACGG
rnacentral:rRNA from 1 species